AUGGCAGCUGAGCCAAAGCCUUUGAUUGGUUCAUCUUCAGGUCUCUCUGCUGUUCUCCAGCCUCCUGUAUCAGAUCCUGUUGAACUGGGAGGAGAUGCAACUUUGCAGUGUUCAGUACUCACAGAUACGUCUGCAGGAGAACACAGUGUGUACUGGUUCAGACAUGGAUCAGGAGAAUCUCAUCCAGGAAUCAUUUACACUCAUGGAAACAGGAGUGAUGAGUGUAAGAAAAGCUCUGAGACUGAUUCUCCUACACAGAGCUGUGUCUACAAACUCCCCAAGAGAAACCUCAGCCUCUCUGAUGCUGGAACUUACUACUGUGCUGUGCUCAUGUGUGGAGAGAUCAUCUUUGGGAACGGAACUAAACUGGACUUUGUAGAGAAUAGUGUUUUGGACCCAGCCGUUCUGGUAAAUCAGGCUGAAGAAACUGACGUCUUGAACUAUGCAGCUCUAAGCUUUGCUCAGUCUUCCUCCUCAAGAAGAAGCAGAACAAAGAACAGCAGUGAUCAGCCUGUGUACGCACAGGUAAAGACCCAUCAGUAGAAACAACAUCAGAGUUACAA